UAUUGUAAGUAGCCAUGAUAUCAUUAUGUC
rnacentral:piRNA from 1 species